GUCCAAACAAAAUUUUCUCAUCGUUAACAAAAGUGCAGCUUGAAAAUUUAUUGCUACCAGAGAUGGAGAUAGAGAUAGAGAUAGAGAGGGACCCAUAAUUAUUGUCCUUUUGUUCUAGUUGAUAAUGAUUAUGAUGAAUGAUGUUAUAUUGUUCAGCAUUGAAAGAAUCCAAGAAUUUCAUCCUUGCUGGAUGCCUUGAACGCCACCAUUCCCUCAGCAAUUUUUACCUUUUUAGCUGGAGAGGGACCAACAAGUUUAUGUAAUGGAAGGACGGACCAUCAUACAUUACAGAUGCUUAGGAUCAGGUGAUGUAAAUCCUGCACAUCAUGGUACCGCUUCAAGCCAGAGAAGGUGGGGCUACUAUGUAAUAAUUCCGAUUAGAUUUCUCUUGUAAGAAAGAUGCUUUGGUCCUGCGUUUGUCACGGUGGAGGUGCCUCCAUGGGGUGCUACUUUUGUUGCAUGCUGGUGCAAAGAGGAUACAAUUGAUAUUGGCUGUUGAAGGUUCUUAUCCCUCCAUCAUGCUGGCUCCACUCUUCUAGAGGUUGCUUAUUUUUUGGUUGAAUGGUUGAAUCGAGUUGUGAUUGAAAAGGUCAUUGCUUCCCUUUGUUUGAGCUGAUCUUCACGGCUCAUUUGAUCUGGUGAUGCAAGUGUAUCUCAAAGUCAUUAUCUUCAUUUUUCUUCUUAUCUGGAGUCCUCUUGCUUACUUUUUGCGAUGGACAAUUUGCUACUCCACCCUUUAGUAUGUUGCAAGGCUUUCAUGCUAUUUUUGUAGGAAUAAAUCACUCUUGAGUAAGCAUCUGUUAGCGGUAGCUAGAGGAGUAAGGGAUGAAGAACGAUGCUACCUGUCUUGUGUAAUUGAAUCUUCUUUUGGUUCUAUUAGGUUGGGUUUGUAGAGUCAGUUCUUCAUCUGGUUGUUCACACUUUUGGGGUAUUAAGACCUGUGUUAUAUAUUUCUAUUCUUGUGGGAUAUGCGCUCUUUUGUUUAGGCUGUAAUAUUGUUAAAUCUAAUGAAAUCUCUCUUAUUUUUGAGAGAAAGAAAAUGGUAAUCAA